rnacentral:rRNA from 1 species
UACAGAGGUGGCAAGCGUUGUUCGGAAUUACUGGGCGUAAAGGGCGCGUAGGCGGCCCACUAAGUCAGACGUGAAAUCCCCCGGCUUAACCUGGGAACUGCGUCUGAUACUGGAGGGCUUGAGUAUGGGAGAGGGAUGUAGAAUUCCAGGUGUAGCGGUGAAAUGCGUAGAUAUCUGGAGGAAUACCGGUGGCGAAGGCGGCAUACUGGACCACAUCUGACGCUGAGGCGCGAAAGCCAGGGGAGCGAACGGG